rnacentral:rRNA from 1 species
GGGACAGGGCAUCGCGGAACUGCAGGUCAUCUUGGCCUCGCGGAAUGUCGCGUUCGGGAGAGUCUUCUCGCGACGUGGACAGCCAGUCAAAGUCCAACUUGACAGUGGCCAUUGCCCGUAGAGGGUGAUAGGCCCGUAAGGCGGCCGUCCUGCCGUGCCGACUUUUCCCCAGAGUCAGGUUGCUUGGAAGUGCAGCCCAAAGAGCCAGGUAAACUCCUGGUAAGGCUAAAUAUGACCCCGAGACCGAUAGCAAACAAGUACCGUGAGGGAAAAAUGAAAAGAACUUUGAAGAGAGAGUUCAAAAGUACGUGAAACUGUGUGGUGGUAAACGGAGGGGUUCUCGAAGUCUCGUGGGGAACUCAACCUGGUGGCGGGCGGGCGAGGCGUGUCGGAUCAGCAAUGACCGCGUUGCGUCUGGCUCGUCUCUCGGGCGCACUUUCCCCCGCGUUCACGACAGGAACCGUUGGGGCUGAACCUGGCCCGGGAAGAAGUUGUGGCGCAGCUCCCGGCGUCCCGGCUUCGGCCCCGACGGGUAGAUAAGAGGGCGCGUAUAGCGCGCGGCCUGCCGCGGCUCUCAUCUCCCUGUCGAGUAGGUCGGCGGCCCCUCCGACCCGUCUUGAAACACGGACCG